GUGCGGAGAGGAGGGGGGGUGGGAGGACCCUGCGAGACCAGCCAGCCGCACCGCGAGCUGCAACAACACGGGGAUAAACACCGAAUAUCCAACUAGGACUCCAGCUUCAUGUCUCAUUCUUAUAAAAUGACUUUGGUCUUCAGUCUGGGCCGUUUGUAAAUACCGAAAGGCCUGUAUUUCGGGAUUGACACGUCCAGUAUCCAGUUCUCUGCUAACACUUUAUUUACGGCGAAUUGCACAAGCUCUCAACUCUGAUGUGAGAUAAUGUCAGCUCGUCCAGUCAUCGAUCAUCUGCCCCCGGUGCCAGAAAUGGUGUCAUAACAUGAUAAUGCGGCUUCACACAUUCGGCGGUGAUUCCUGCGGUAAAACCCGAGCGGUGGGAUCAGAUGGGACGAAUGUACAGGCAUGAAAUGACUAUCAAAGCCUCCUGCAGACCGGCCGGCGAGGCUCCGGGGCGCGGACAUCAGCGAAGCACGAAGCCGCGCAGGAGCCAUGGACUUUUACGCACAGAGAUACCGGAUCAACUAAUAAACUGGGUUGACUUGUACUUGUCGAGUUACUUAAUCCAAUAAUUUAUUGGUGAGUAGAAGUUCUCAUUUUAUUAUUUUUAUGCGUAGGCCUAUUUAAUUAAACAUCGUAUUAUUGUCAUUGAUAUUUUCUUGAUGGAAGGUUAUUUUUAAUUAAACGAGAAGCUGGUGUUUAAAACCACUUUAAGCUAAAUUUGUGCAUUUAGUGAAACGUAAACAGGAUUAUAGCCUGGCUCACUACACCACAAGGCACACUAAAUGUUAAGAGGGUUAUACAGAAAAAGCAUAAUUAACAUGAAAGGAGACCACAUCAGCGCCGGACCACUGUAAAAUAACUACAAUGGCAUUAUAAAGCAAUUAAGCUACGUCAAUUAGCGUCUAUAAAAGCAAACUGGAGCUCCACUUUCUCUCCUGGACUUUCUUUCGUGAGGGUCAACGCAUUUUGGCAUCCUGAAAGAGAGCUGGAAGUGGGGGGUGGGGGGGGGGGGGGGGGGGGGGGGGGGGGGGGGGGGGGGGGGGGUAAAUACCGUCAUUUGUGUUUAAUCCGCUUUGCGAUGACGGUAAUGCUUUGAGUCGUUUCAAUAAAAUCAGCAGGUAUUACUUUCAAACGGCAGAAUGUAAAUUGACAGCAUGUCUGACUGCCGAAACAAAUGGAUGCGUUAUUCCACGGCCUGUGCGCCGUGACCUGAGCAGUUUGGAGACAAAGACGAGCUGCAGCCUUUAUGUUAGUUUAUCGAAACACACGCAACAUGCAAAACGUCUAAAACCUGCAUCCCUCUAAUGUUACAUAUUACUAUUUUAAGUCACCGACAGCUAUUCUGGGUUACAGCGUUGUAAUAGAUAAUGCAAAUUUGAAAAUGAAUUUUAAUACGUGCACUUUGACUAAAAAAAAAAACACAAUAUUUUUUUAAAGAGAUAGAAACAAGAUGUCCAGGUCAGACAACGGCUGCCCGAGCCUCUGUGGUUGGCUGUCUGUGGAGCCACUGGCAGCCUGAGGUUUCAAACUGAGGUCAAACUUUUUGCAGCUCUGCGCCCAAACGUGUUGGGAUCUGCAAAGGCCACCGAUCCUCUCUGCUUUGUGUCACCGCUGCAACACACAGGCACACAGAUAGACUUGCUGCAAAGUUUACACAGCUCAUCUAAUUAUACGAAACUACUAGUAUAUUAUCGCCUGUCACAAUAUCCAGCCGGAUUCAUGAAGGGUGCAUUUAGGCGCUGUGAGCUCGGUCUAGGAAAAGGCGCUCGGCUUUGUACGACUAAACGGUUUCUCUUGCCUCGAAGAUUUAUUUUAAAAGUUUAGUGUAGAACCCAGUGUCGCAUGUUAAAGGCAUGUAUUAUAGCCUGAUUCUCCACCGUCGGUUACCAACUGUUGUAACGUGGAGCAAAGGGUGACAUUAUUUUUUGAUACAGUUUGUCUCUGUAAUAGAUAAUUGUUAAAGGACGAUGAGGUGUUUGCCAAAGUUUGAUGAUUAAAAAUAAAUAAAUAAUGACACUAAUAUUACGAGAGUUCAGUCACAUGGCACCGAAAACAUCCUGGCCAAUAAGAUGCUAUAUGGCUUGUUUUUAAUGGUGUAAAAGCAUUGCUUUGGUAAAAAUGGAAAUAAUAUGAUGUUUUGCAAUAUUUAUUUUAAACCAUGAAAUCCGUUCCAUUGUGUACCAGGGGUAACUCUUUCCUCUGGGAGUUUUUACCUCUGUUGCAUCCUGCAGUUUGGCCCCCACGUUAAUCUGAGCUGCACUCGUCUCUCACACACGUUAAUGCUUAAUCAUUUGCGCCUUCUACCGGACCUGUUGGAAAUUACAUGAGAUGCAGAAAGGCAGAGGAAGGCAAGGAGUCUUGCUCAGAUAAUUAAGAUAAAAAGUAACCCUGCAAAAUAAAUCGACCGUUACACUUUUUGGGGACUUCUGUUGCAUUGUCAGCAUUUUUAUCUUUUCCAGCAUGCUGCACUAAAUGCUAAAUAUUAUGUUUGAUUCUAUAAAGAAAUGGCUAUAUUUCUUGUGA